GCAGCUAACGCGAUAAGCAUCCCGCCUGNGGAGUACGAUCGCAAGAUUGAAACUCAAAGGAAUUGACGGGGGCCCGCACAAGCGGUGGAGCACGUGGUUUAAUUCGAUGCAAACCGAAGAACCUUACCUGGGUUUGACAUGCACGUGGUACGGAGAUGAAAGUCGAAGGACCCCGUAGAGAUACGGGGAGCGUGCACAGGUGCUGCAUGGCUGUCGUCAGCUCGUGUCGUGAGAUGUUGGGUUAAGUCCCGCAACGAGCGCAACCCNNGCAUCCAGUUGCCAGCGAGUGAAGUCGGGGACUCUGGAUGGACUGCCGGCGACAAGCCGGAGGAAGGNNNGGAUGNNNUCAAGUCAUCAUGGCCCUUAUGUCCAGGGCGACACACGUGCUACANUGGCCGGCACAAAGGGAAGCGAGGGGGCGACCCGGAGCGGAUCCCAUCAAAGCCGGUCCCAGUUCGGAUUGGAGUCUGCAACCCGACUCCAUGAAGCCGGAAUCGCUAGUAAUCGCGGAUCAGCCAAGCCGCGGUGAAUACGUUCCCGGGCCUUGUACACACCGCCCGUCACACCACCCGAGUUGGGGGCACCCGAAGCCGGAGGCUUAACCCGUAAGGGGGAGAUCCGUCGAAGGUGCGUCUGGUGA
rnacentral:rRNA from 1 species